rnacentral:rRNA from 1 species
AGAGUUUGAUCAUGGCUCAGAGCGAACGCUGGCGGCAGGCUUAACACAUGCAAGUCGAGCGGGCGUAGCAAUACGUCAGCGGCAGACGGGUGAGUAACGCGUGGGAACAUACCUUUUGGUUCGGAACAACACAGGGAAACUUGUGCUAAUACCGGAUAAGCCCUUACGGGGAAAGAUUUAUCGCCGAAAGAUUGGCCCGCGUCUGAUUAGCUAGUUGGUGAGGUAACGGCUCACCAAGGCGACGAUCAGUAGCUGGUCUGAGAGGAUGAUCAGCCACAUUGGGACUGAGACACGGCCCAAACUCCUACGGGAGGCAGCAGUGGGGAAUAUUGGACAAUGGGCGCAAGCCUGAUCCAGCCAUGCCGCGUGAGUGAUGAAGGCCCUAGGGUUGUAAAGCUCUUUUGUGCGGGAAGAUAAUGACGGUACCGCAAGAAUAAGCCCCGGCUAACUUCGUGCCAGCAGCCGCGGUAAUACGAAGGGGGCUAGCGUUGCUCGGAAUCACUGGGCGUAAAGGGUGCGUAGGCGGGUCUUUAAGUCAGGGGUGAAAUCCUGGAGCUCAACUCCAGAACUGCCUUUGAUACUGAGGAUCUUGAGCUCGGGAGAGGUGAGUGGAACUGCGAGUGUAGAGGUGAAAUUCGUAGAUAUUCGCAAGAACACCAGUGGCGAAGGCGGCUCACUGGCCCGAUACUGACGCUGAGGCACGAAAGCGUGGGGAGCAAACAGGAUUAGAUACCCCAGUAGUCC